rnacentral:rRNA from 1 species
CCCUACGGGGCGCAGCAGUGGGGAAUAUUGCACAAUGGGGGAAACCCUGAUGCAGCGACGCCGCGUGAGUGAAGAAGUAUUUCGGUAUGUAAAGCUCUAUCAGCAGGGAAGAAAAUGACGGUACCUGACUAAGAAGCCCCGGCUAACUACGUGCCAGCAGCCGCGGUAAUACGUAGGGGGCAAGCGUUAUCCGGAUUUACUGGGUGUAAAGGGAGCGUAGACGGCAUGGCAAGUCAGAUGUGAAAGCCCGGGGCUCAACCCCGGGACUGCAUUGGGAACUACCGGGCUGGAGUGCCGGAGAGGCA